rnacentral:sRNA from 1 species
GCCGGGUGCGGUGGUGGGCACCUGUAAUCCCAGCUACUUGGGAGGCUGAGGCAGAAGAAUCACUUGAACCCAGGAAGUGGAGGUUGCUGUGAGCUGAGAUCGCACCACUGUACUCCAGCCUGGGUGACAGAGUGAGACUCUGUCUCAA